UGUAAACGCAAUAGUUGUUUUGAUUGAGCAAUCAGACCUUUGAAUGUCGUCUGAGCUUCUUCAAUUUCGAUUGGUCGGUUCGAAUAUCCAUGCGCAAUUAGGCUAAUUCUGUUUGUUGAAUCAGUACGUUGUCCAUUACUACCUUCGAUGUUUAUUUCUAUAUGAUAACUUGUAUUUGUGUAUAUAAAAAAACAAUAAUAUUAGAUCGUCAAAAUGUUUCAUCACGAAAACAUCGUGUUUAUCACGUGAAACUUGUUCCAAUAAUGUGAUCGAUAAUGUAUGCCAAGCUACGUAAAACAUUGACAUCGCAAUUUUUACUUUCUCAAAUGCAUAUUAUUAUGUCAUCUUUCCUUGUUAGAGACAAAAUAUGAUGGUUAUUGUCCCAAGAAUAUCUUUCUGAUAUUUUCAUUAUUUGUAUUGAGCUUUGUUAAAAUGGAAUGAAGGAAAUGAUGAAAUUAUCAUCUAUGACGCAUUUAAACGAAUCGUAUAUUAGAUUGCACAUACAAUCAAAAUUUCUUCGUUAUAUAUGUAUGAAUCAUAUACGAUUGCAAUAGCUGAUACUGCUGUUUAAAGCAUCUUUGCAACAAAUUACAACAAAUUAGACUCAAAAUAGGUACAAAUGUAUCGAUGAUAAAUUAUGUUUAUUUUUA